CCAAUAGCGUAUAUUAAAGUUGUUGCAGUUAAAAAGCUCGUAGUUGAAUUUCGGGGUUCAUCCGUUGGUCGGGCUCUUUGGUCUGUACUGGCGUGAUGGAUUCCUACCUUCUGAAUAACCGGCAUGCCAUUAAUUUGGUGCGCCGGGGAAGCAGGACUGUUACCUUGAAAAAAUUAGAGUGCUUAAAGCAGGCUAUCGCCUGAAUACAUUAGCAUGGAAUAAUGAAAUAGGACGCAUGGUUCUAUUUUGUUGGUUUCUAGGAUCACCGUAAUGAUUAAUAGGGAUAGUUGGGGGCAUUAGUAUUCAAUUGUCAGAGGUGAAAUUCUUGGAUUUAUUGAAGACUAACUUCUGCGAAAGCAUUUGCCAAGGAUGUUUUCAUUAAUCAAGAACGAAAGUUAGGGGAUCGAAGACGAUCAGAUACCGUCGUAGUCUUAACCAUAAACUAUGCCGACUAGGGAUCGGACGAAGUUAAUUUUUUAAUGACUCGUUCGGCGCCUUACG
rnacentral:rRNA from 1 species